rnacentral:lncRNA from 1 species
CCACCGUCAACCGCGACGGCAUCCGACAGUCCAGAACAGUCUAUACACUACUGUAAAAAUAAACUCGGGGUCCCAGCACGAGCGUAAAUUCAUUCUACACUAUUCUGGAUAUUCACCGCCUACAAACUGCAACGAUACAAACAAACUACAGCUCCUAAAGCUAAAUCUGGUAGUUUUCAGAAAAUGACAGUGUAAAAUCUAUAGUUUUAUCCUAAGUCAAUUCCAAGUACAACAUGUAUAAUUUAU